CCUACGGGAGGCAGCAGUAGGGAAUAUUGGGCAAUGGUCGCAAGACUGACCCAGCCAUGCCGCGUGCAGGAAGACGGCCCUCUGGGUUGUAAACUGCUUUKAUCUGGGAAGAAAAAGUCCAUGCGUGGAAAAUUGCCGGUACCAGAUGAAUAAGCACCGGCUAACUCCGUGCCAGCAGCCGCGGUAAUACGGAGGGUGCAAGCGUUGUCCGGAUUUAUUGGGUUUAAAGGGUGCGUAGGCGGCUGAAUAAGUCAGCGGUGAAAGACUUCGGCUUAACCGGAGCAGUGCCGUUGAUACUGUUUAGCUUGAGUGUUGGAGGGGUACAUGGAAUUGAUGGUGUAGCGGUGAAAUGCAUAGAUACCAUCAGGAACACCGAUAGCGAAGGCAUUGUACUGGCCAACAACUGACGCUGAGGCACGAAAGUGUGGGGAUCGAACAGGAUUAGAUACCCUGGUAGUCCACACCGUAAACGAUGAUUACUCGCUGUUAUGGUGUAAGCUGUAGCGGCCAAGCGAAAGCGUUAAGUAAUCCACCUGGGGAGUACGCCGGCAACGGUGAAACUCAAAGGAAUUGACGG
rnacentral:rRNA from 1 species